rnacentral:lncRNA from 1 species
GGGAUAUUGUGUGCUGAAUUCAUAGGCAUGCAAGGUGAACCUGGAGAACUGAAACAUCUAAGUAUCCAGAGGAAAAGAAAUCAACCGAGAUUCCGCUAGUAGUGGCGAGCGAAAGCGGAACAGCCCAGUUACUAAAUCAUUAUUAGCUUUAGCAAAAUGUUCUGGAAAGUUCAGUCAUAGUAGGUGAUAGCCCUGUAUGCAAAAGAGCUAAUAACGUGGGUAACGAAGAGUAGGUCGGGACACGUGAUAUCUUGACUGAAUAUGGGGGGACCAUCCUCCAAGGCUAAAUACUCCUUACUGACCGAUAGUGAACUUAGUACCGUGAGGGAAAGGUGAAAAGAACCCCGGCGAGGGGAGUGAAAUAGAAUCUGAAACCGUAUGUAUACAAGCAGUCAGAGCCUCGCACCUAAAUCACUUUGGAAUUUGAAAUAGAGAGUGGUCAAUCUUUAAGUGAUUUAGGUGCGAGGUGAUGGCGUACCUUUUGUAUAAUGGGUCAGCGACUUACUUGUUGUAGCGAGCUUAACCGUAUAGGGGAGGCGUAGGGAAACCGAGUCUGAAACUGGCGUUUAGUUGCAAUAAGUAGACCCGAAACCGGGCGAUCUAUCCAUGGCCAGGGUGAAGGUCAGGUAACACUGACUGGAGGCCCGAACCCACUACUGUUGAAAAAGUAGGGGAUGAGUUGUGGAUAGGAGUGAAAGGCUAAUCAAGCUCGGAGAUAGCUGGUUCUCCUCGAAAGCUAUUUAGGUAGCGUCUCGUAUAUGACUCUUGGGGGUAGAGCUACUGUUUCGGAUAGGGGGCCUUACCGGCCUACCAAACCGAGGCAAACUCCGAAUACCAAGAAGUUUUAGUAUCGGGAGACACACUGCGGGUGAUAAGGUCCGUGGUGAAAAGGGAAACAGCCCAGACCGCCAGCUAAGGUCCCAAAAUCACAGUUAAGUGGAAAACGAUGUGGGAAGUCUUAGACAACCAGGAGGUUGGCUUAGAAGCAGCCAUCCUUUAAAGAAAGCGUAAUAGCUCACUGGUCGAGUCGUCCUGCGCGGAAGAUUUAACGGGGCUUAAACUGUGUACCGAAGCUGCGGAGCUCUUCAAAUUAGAGCUGGUAGAGGAGCGUUCUGUAAGCCUGCGAAGAUGAAUCGAAAGGUUUGUUGGAGGUAUCAGAAGUGCGAAUGCUGACAUGAGUAACGAUAAUGUGGGUGAAAAACCUACACGCCGAAAGUCCAAGGUUUCCUGCGCAACGCUAAUCGGCGCAGGGUGAGUCGGCCCCUAAGGUGAGGCAGAAAUGCGUAGUCGAUGGGAAACAGGUUAAUAUUCCUGUACUUUACAAUGCUGCGAUGGGAGGACGGAGAAGGUUAAGUCAGCCACCCGAUGGUUGUGGUAGGUUUAAGUGCGUAGGAAAGGUUCUUUGGCAAAUCCGGGAACCCAAUUCUGAGACAUGAUGACGAAGCAUGAUUUGUUUCAUGCGAAGUGACUGAUACCACGCUUCCAGGAAAAGUCCCUAAGCUCUAGGUACUGUAAAACCGUACCCCAAACCGACACAGGUGGACAGGUAGAGAAUACUAAGGCGUUUGAGAGAACUUGGGUGAAGGAACUAGGCAAAAUGACACCGUAACUUCGGGAGAAGGCACACUGGCAUUAGGGCAGA